rnacentral:rRNA from 1 species
UACAGAGGUCUCAAGCGUUGUUCGGAUUCAUUGGGCGUAAAGGGUGCGUAGGCGGCGCGGUAAGUCGGGUGGUGAAAUCUCGGAGCUUAACUCCGAAACUGCAUUCGAUACUGCCGUGCUUGAGGACUGGAGAGGAGACUGGGAAUUUACGGUGUAGCGGUGAAAUGCGUAGAUAUCGUAAGGAAGACCAGUGGCGAAGGCGGGUCUCUGGACAGUUCCUGACGCUGAGGCACGAAGGUCAGGGGAGCAAACGGG